CCCGAAACCAGGUGAUCUACCCUUGGUCAGGUUGAAGUUCAGGUAACACUGAAUGGAGGACCGAACCGACUUACGUUGAAAAGUGAGCGGAUGAACUGAGGGUAGCGGAGAAAUUCCAAUCGAACCUGGAGAUAGCUGGUUCUCUCCGAAAUAGCUUUAGGGCUAGCCUCAAGUGAUGAUUAUUGGAGGUAGAGCACUGUUUGGACGAGGGGCCCCUCUCGGGUUACCGAAUUCAGACAAACUCCGAAUGCCAAUUAAUUUAACUUGGGAGUCAGAACAUGGGUGAUAAGGUCCGUGUUCGAAAGGGAAACAGCCCAGACCACCAGCUAAGGUCCCAAAAUAUAUGUUAAGUGGAAAAGGAUGUGGCGUUGCCCAGACAACUAGGAUGUUGGCUUAGAAGCAGCCAUCAUUUAAAGAGUGCGUAAUAGCUCACUAGUCGAGUGACACUGCGCCGAAAAUGUACCGGGGCUAAACAUAUUACCGAAGCUGUGGAUUGUCCUUUGGACAAUGGUAGGAGAGCGUUCUAAGGGCGUUGAAGCAUGAUCGUAAGGACAUGUGGAGCGCUUAGAAGUGAGAAUGCCGGUGUGAGUAGCGAAAGACGGGUGAGAAUCCCGUCCACCGAUUGACUAAGGUUUCCAGAGGAAGGCUCGUCCGCUCUGGGUUAGUCGGGUCCUAAGCUGAGGCCGACAGGCGUAGGCGAUGGAUAACAGGUUGAUAUUCCUGUACCACCUAUAAUCGUUUUAAUCGAUGGGGGGACGCAGUAGGAUAGGCGAAGCGUGCGAUUGGAUUGCACGUCUAAGCAGUAAGGCUGAGUAUUAGGCAAAUCCGGUACUCGUUAAGGCUGAGC
rnacentral:rRNA from 1 species